UGACUGUUCUACGGAGCACUUUUCAUCUAAUAUAGAUAUAAAGACUUGUAUAUAGACUAACCUGUUGGUUUUCCCAUUUGAAUGGUUUUUUUUACAAAAAAUGGAAGUUUUUAACGACCUUAACUGGCUAUACAGCCCUUGCACGGUCGGUAUAAAGUUUGCUUUACAUGUCACUAUUGAGGCCCUUUAUAGCUUCCUGUACGGUGUGAGCCAAGGCUCAGUGUUAAGUGGUUUACUUUUACACAUUUCUACUUGGACGAGAGAAUUGUCUUAUUUGCACAUCUUCUUAAAUCUAUUGUGUUUUAAAAAUCACGUUUAAUUUCUAAAUCCGAAACCGCAAAUAGUCUAAAUAUCAAGGAGGAAUUGAUAAAAAG
rnacentral:lncRNA from 1 species